GUUAAGUCAUAAUAACCAGCUUUGCAUUUAUAAAAAAACGUAAUAUCUUUGAUUUUGAACCAGUAUGAAAUAGGCAGUAGGUUAAGUUUCUUUAAACGGUUGGUGUAAGAUGAGUUGAAGUCUUGAAGGAUAUACUUGGUUGCUCGUCUUUGGACACUUUCAAGACAAAGAAGGUCCCUAGAUGUUGUUUGGGGUGCCCAAAUUUCACUGCCAUAGCACAGGUGUGUACGAACAAGUGUCAAAUAGAGAGAGCGUCGACAGUUUGUAUCAGUUAAAUAUGUGCAGUUACGUCGUAG